rnacentral:rRNA from 1 species
GAUGAACGCUGGCGGCGUGCCUAAUACAUGCAAGUCGAGCGAAUGGAUUGAGAGCUUGCUCUUAUGAAGUUAGCGGCGGACGGGUGAGUAACACGUGGGUAACCUGCCCAUAAGACUGGGAUAACUCCGGGAAACCGGGGCUAAUACCGGAUAACAUUUUGAACCGCAUGGUUCGAAAUUGAAAGGCGGCUUCGGCCGUCACUUAUGGAUGGACCCGCGUCGCAUUAGCUAGUUGGUGAGGUAACGGCUCACCAAGGCAACGAUGCGUAGCCGACCGGAGAGGGUGAUCGGCCACACUGGGACUGAGACACGGCCCAGACUCCUACGGGAGGCAGCAGUAGGGAAUCUUCCGCAAUGGACGAAAGUCUGACGGAGCAACGCCGCGUGAGUGAUGAAGGCUUUCGGGUCGUAAAACUCUGUUGUUAGGGAAGAACAAGUGCUAGUUGAAUAAGCUGGCACCUUGACGGUACCUAACCAGAAAGCCACGGCUAACUACGUGCCGGCCGCCGCGGUAA